GACGAACGCUGGCGGCGUGCUUAACACAUGCAAGUCGAACGGAAAGGCGCCUUUGGGGGUCCUCGAGUGGCGAACGGGUGAGUAACAAGUGCGUAACCUGCCCUUGACUUCGGGGUAACAUCAGGACAAAGGGGCGAAUACUGGCUAGGAAUCCUUGCUGAAGAGUGGGGGUUGGAAAGCUUCCGCGGUGUUGGAUGGAGUCGUGGCUUAUCGGCUUGUUGGGGGGGUAGUGGCUUACACAGGCUUUGACGGGAAGCCGGCCUGAGAGAGCGACAGGCGACAUGGGGACUUAGAGACGGCCCAGACUCCGACGUGAGGCAGAAGUGGGGAAUAUUGCUCAAGGGGCGGAGGCCGGAUGCAGCAGCGCCGCGGGCGGGAUAACGGCCUUCGGGGUGUAGACCGCUUUCAGCAUGGGCGGAGCUGGUGGUGACGGUACCGGCAGAAGAAGCACCGGCUAACUACGUG
rnacentral:rRNA from 1 species